rnacentral:rRNA from 1 species
UACGUAGGGGGCAAGCGUUGUCCGGAUUUAUUGGGCGUAAAGAGCGUGUAGGCGGCCAAGCAGGUCCGCUGUGAAAACUCGAGGCUCAACCUCGAGACGUCGGUGGAAACCGUUUGGCUAGAGUCCGGAAGAGGAGAGUGGAAUUCCCGGUGUAGCGGUGAAAUGCGCAGAUAUCGGGAAGAACACCCGUGGCGAAGGCGGCUCUCUGGGACGGUACUGACGCUGAGACGCGAAAGCGUGGGGAGCGAAUGGG